UCUCCAUGACCUUUGGGAUCAUCUUAAAUCCAAUCUCAUAUCUAUGAUUCUGUAUUUAACCCUCCAAGUGUUUUUGUUGACCGUUUAUUUCCUCACUUGCCCCCGCCCUACUUACCUUGUGGAUUUUUCCGGUUAUGAGCUUGAUGAUUUGAGAAAAUUUACCAUGCAAAUUUAUAUUGAAAGGUCUCCGUUAAGGGGUUCUUUUGCUAAGCAUAGCCUUAGGUUUCAAAGGAAAAUUCUUGAAGGGCUUGGGCUUGGAAGGUCACUGCAAAGAAGUGAAGACCUCCAGAUUCGUGCCAGCAACGACAAAUUGAUGCUCACCCCGUUCGAUCUUAUCCUAGGAGAUAUGUUCAGAUCGAAGACCUCCAGAUUUGUGUCGACGCUUGAACACGGCUUCAACCUUGUGGGCUUCGCAACAUGCACAAAGGAAAUGGGUGAGAUUCAUUGUCUGGCCAAAAAGAGCUGGUUGAGGAUGAUAUUGGAGAUGGAUGAACAGGGAUGAGGAAGUGGUUAACUGUGAAAUGGUGUGAUUCGGUCUGUGAGGGAGAUUGGAAGUGGUGAUGACGGUUGUUUUUGACUGAUUUGUGAGGGGAUGAAGAGGGGUGGACCCACCAGGAGGUGCUGGAAAAAAGACGACGUCAGCGAAUGCGGCAGAGGUAUUGGGGCAUUAUGGUUUUUUUUUUCCUCUCUAAGUAACGGAGAUUUAACCGUGAUUAUAGCAUCA
rnacentral:misc_RNA from 1 species